rnacentral:lncRNA from 1 species
AGCAAGAUAAAAUGACAUCAAAAGUCAAGAGGGUUAUCUUAUUAAAUUCAUAAUGUCUCAAAUAAUCUAAAUACAAAUUAUUAAAAUCUCAUCAAAUUAAGGAAAAAAAAAUUAUCUUUUUGUACUUCAUAAUGUUUCUGCAUGUUUUUUCUUCUUCUGUUGUUUGUGUCUUCAUUUUCUUUGAUCUUUCACUAUCACAAGUCUUCUCUCCAAAUUGGAAUUUUUUGCCUUUUCUUCUUUGACCAUUUCCAAUUCAUUUUUUAUUUUGCUUCUUCACAACAAAACUGACUGACCUAUCAGAUAUUAUCAUCUUAAACUCUCAUAGGUAACUUCCUUUCUCCACAUCAAAGUUACAAGUCAGUCCCAUAUAAGAUUGAAAUACACCUAAUUAAAAUUUUAAGAUGAUAGAGUUUGAUUACACAACAUUUUUUUCUCCUUCGAUGAUACAAAUUUACUGGCCUAGGGGUACAACAACACCAAUCUAUAUAUAUCUUUAGGCUAAGAUAACUUUUUACACUUUUAAAAUAUUCCAUGCUCAAAUUUUAAGACAAUUUUCUUUAUUAAUAUGCUUAACUAGUGUCCGAGACACUAUUUAGCAUUUUCCAUAUAUAGAAACAAAACCUUGCGAUUACAAUUUACAUCAACAAAGCAGAGCCAUUAAAUCUAAUAGUAAGACAAGAUCAAGAUCAUGGAUGGUCAGGGACGGAGGUAGGAAUUCAGUUUAGGGGAACUGAACAUACAACAAAUUAUAAAAUAAAUCCAAAGUUAAUAUUUGUGAAUUUGCAUUUUAUGAGCCACUUUUUUUUAGUUGAACUUUUUGGCCUAUUUAUUUUCACGUUUCUUGUAAUUUUGGUCUCAACUCAUGCAUUGUGCCUUAAAAUUGCGACAUCCAUGCAUAAAAAAAAAGGUGAAUUUUAGUCUCAAAAGAAAUAUUUUGUCAUUAAAUUUAAUAUUGAAUUGAGACAAUAUAAUCACUUUUUUAGUACAAAAGAAUACAAUUUUUAUUUGGAAUAACAUUCACUAAGAUCAAAUUUACAACAAAUUUAUAAAUAGAGCACAAAAAGUUGAAAUAUAAAAAGGGGGCUAUUUUUGUGAGUUGAAGAAAAUAGAAGAAUAAAAAUGAAAAUAAACCAUUAAUAUAAUAAAAUACUAUAGUAUAAAUUUUUUGAAAAAAAAUUAAGGAGAACCGUGGCCUUUAUUGGACCCCUUUCUAGGUCCAUAGUUUCCGCCAUGAGGCUUAUCAAAUGCUUGCUUGUUUUGAUUUAUAAGAUUUGAUUCCCCAAGCAACCUUCUACUACUUGCCAUUUCAUACGACCCUAUAAAAUAACAUCAUAUACAUCAAGGAUUUAUAUAAAUUUAAAUUUAUAUACACCAACAAUAUAUGUUGACAUUUUCUUUCACAUGAUCAUAUAAAAUAUGGUAUUAUAAAGCAUAAUUUAGUAAUUAAUUAUCCAAAAAAGUGUAAGAUGUCAAUAAAGCCCUUAAAAAACACUCCAUAUAGAUUUGUGUAUAUGGACUACCCAAAAAUGUUUCUAAGAAAAAACAAUUGAAUAUGGGAGUUUCACUUACUUGAAUGAAGCUCAGAAUCUCCAACUAGUUUUAUGGUACACAAUGAAAUCACAAAAAGUAUGAGGGCAACACCAAUAAGUGAAGUUGUUUUAGAAGCCAUAUUAGUUUGGUUUAUGGUCACUAUGUAUUCAAGAUAUCCUAAUUUAUAACACACAAGUAU